AUCGCCUCGGUCUUCCGGCGACCACUUCCAGGCAUCCACCUCCUUUAGGUGGGCGAAGCCGAGACUCCUGUUGCGGACGGGGAGCCUGCUUGGUGGCCGCCCUUCAAGGGAUUGAAUCGCGCCCGAGACUCAGGAAUGUCACACCCACCGAGACGCCUCCUCUGCCGAGGGAAGGCCAGCUGGGCCCUCUGUUUUUGCUCCCUAGCCAGGCGCUGAACCAGGACUACUUACAUCAGGACAAUCUGGUUGCUGGAUAUAAAUGGCAAGACACAGGGAUGUGUGUAUGUGAUCUUCUGGUCUAUUCCAUCUCUCCUACUGAAGAAAUUGCUAACACUGCCUUAAUCCUGAGCUGUGCUCUCAAGUGAGAGAUGAUGUGGCCACCAGGACAUGAAUGUGGGAGACCUGAGGGCAAGGAAACCCACAAUAUUAUCACAUGUUCAGUGCAAAAUGAAAAACAGGAAGUCUCAUGGAAUGCUUGGAAUCGAGAUCUCCAUGGGAAUAGGGUAAGCACAGCCAAGCUCAUUUACAAGUGCCGAUUUCUGCUCUUUGUCAGUGCUUAUGACCAUAAGCUUGUGAGCCUGGGUGUACCGUGGAUGGAACUGGGCUUGAGGGGUUCAUCUCCUGAGCUUCCAUGUUCUUUAGCAGAAAUGUAGGUCUGUGGCUUAGGAUCUGCACAAUUAUCACAUCACAUACAUGGAGGAAUCAAGCUCAACAUAUGGCUUCAUUAGUAUCCAUGUUCUCUUUUUUUAAAAAAUUGUUUUGUAUUUAAGGAGAAAAAGAAAAAAAAACAGAAAAAGGGUACAAGUUAUACAGAAUUUCAGAAAAAAUAAAGAGUAAGAAACCACUAGUUAAUAGAUAACAUAUUGUUAUCUUAGAAAUAGUUGUUCAAGUUACAAAAUUAAAGCAUAUAAAGUGGACUUUCAAACAGUGAGACUGGAAACAGUUUUGUUCAAUGAUCCAACGAAACCCAGUAAUAUGGUUAUCUAUCUUAUACAAUUAAAUAUAUAUGUAGUUAUAUUCUUUAGAGCACUUUCUUUUCCUUUCUUUUGUACAAUGACAAUUACACAUUUUGGGUUUUAUUGCUUCCAC
rnacentral:lncRNA from 1 species